GUACAAUGCAUCAUGGUACAAUACAUCAUGGCACUGUGCCUCAUUAGAAUCAGCUGAUAUUCUGAGGAACUGGGCCUCUUUUGACACCCAAUGGCUAUCUAGUUUCAGUUGACAGCAUCCUCGCUGGCCAAGGAGAGAUCAGGGACUUCAUCCAGACCAAACGUCUCUUUAUAAAGUCUCUCUGUGGAGUCCUCAUCUCCAGUCCUCCUAUCAUUGGUAUUCUGUGGGAGAGCUGCUCGACCGCUGGGAGGAUAUGGUGGGCUGUGUACGAUACGCUGUGCAUUCACUGCUGAUGAGUUGAUGAUGGUCACAGAGUUAAACAGAGUAUGAAAACACCAUCUCCCCUGGACGGACGUGACGGCCAUCUUAACUUGUCCAGCACAGCACAGGUAGUAGAGUCAAUGGGGAAAUUUCUGGAGACCUACUGUCGCCCUUCUCUCAGUCCCACACUGACAGUAUGAUCCCAUGUUUCCUAGUGGUCAUUAGUUGUAGGGCCAGAGGCGUAAACCGACAUAGUACAUAAAGUAUUAACCAAACAGCAUUUGUCAUUAUAACUUGUUGUUUUAUGCCUAUGAAGUCUCUGUGUGUGAGUGAGGAAAGAAUACUAACAGGAUAAGGUUGAUUUAUAAGAUACAUGGUUGUGUUCCCUAAAAGCAGCAUUUCCAUCAUCAUCACUCCUCAUCUUCACUGGGGCUCUGAAUAGACCAGCCACAGAUGUGUUGAGCUUGUGAUUAACGGCACAAUGGGCUGUUUGUUGCUGCCUCUCUCUCUCCACCUGGGCCUCUGUAGAUGGAAUCAUCCCUGGCAGCACUCAUGACCAGCUUGAAUCAGCCCUUCUGUUUGGGUCUGUUAAUGAUGUUGUCAUUUCUAUAGUACCUUCUGUCUUUAUCCACUCUGAUCUACCUGGCUUGGCUUGGCUUUAGCUAAUGAUCCAUUUGAACAGCUGGACGUGUUAGUAAGGAUGUUAGUGCCUUGCCUUGCUUAAGGGUACGCAGACCAACGAGCCAAUGUGGCCCUUCAUGAUCAAAUCAAAUCAAAUUGUAUUUAUCACAUGCGCCGAAUACAACAGGUUUCACCUUACAGUG